GAUGAACGCUGGCGGCGUGCCUAAUACAUGCAAGUCGAGCGAACGGACGAGAAGCUUGCUUCUCUGAUGUUAGCGGCGGACGGGUGAGUAACACGUGGAUAACCUACCUAUAAGACUGGGAUAACUUCGGGAAACCGGAGCUAAUACCGGAUAAUAUUUUGAACCGCAUGGUUCAAAAGUGAAAGACGGUCUUGCUGUCACUUAUAGAUGGAUCCGCGCUGCAUUAGCUAGUUGGUAAGGUAACGGCUUACCAAGGCAACGAUGCAUAGCCGACCUGAGAGGGUGAUCGGCCACACUGGAACUGAGACACGGUCCAGACUCCUACGGGAGGCAGCAGUAGGGAAUCUUCCGCAAUGGGCGAAAGCCUGACGGAGCAACGCCGCGUGAGUGAUGAAGGUCUUCGGAUCGUAAAACUCUGUUAUUAGGGAAGAACAUAUGUGUAAGUAACUGUGCACAUCUUGACGGUACCUAAUCAGAAAGCCACGGCUAACUACGUGCCAGCAGCCGCGGUAAUACGUAGGUGGCAAGCGUUAUCCGGAAUUAUUGGGCGUAAAGCGCGCGUAGGCGGUUUUUUAAGUCUGAUGUGAAAGCCCACGGCUCAACCGUGGAGGGUCAUUGGAAACUGGAAAACUUGAGUGCAGAAGAGGAAAGUGGAAUUCCAUGUGUAGCGGUGAAAUGCGUAGAGAUAUGGAGGAACACCAGUGGCGAAGGCGACUUUCUGGUCUGUAACUGACGCUGAUGUGCGAAAGCGUGGGGAUCAAACAGGAUUAGAUACCCUGGUAGUCCACGCCGUAAACGAUGAGUGCUAAGUGUUAGGGGGUUUCCGCCCCUUAGUGCUGCAGCUAACGCAUUAAGCACUCCGCCUGGGGAGUACGACCGCAAGGUUGAAACUCAAAGGAAUUGACGGGGACCCGCACAAGCGGUGGAGCAUGUGGUUUAAUUCGAAGCAACGCGAAGAACCUUACCAAAUCUUGACAUCCUUUGACAACUCUAGAGAUAGAGCUUUCCCCUUCGGGGGACAAAGUGACAGGUGGUGCAUGGUUGUCGUCAGCUCGUGUCGUGAGAUGUUGGGUUAAGUCCCGCAACGAGCGCAACCCUUAAGCUUAGUUGCCAUCAUUAAGUUGGGCACUCUAAGUUGACUGCCGGUGACAAACCGGAGGAAGGUGGGGAUGACGUCAAAUCAUCAUGCCCCUUAUGAUUUGGGCUACACACGUGCUACAAUGGACAAUACAAAGGGCAGCGAAACCGCGAGGUCAAGCAAAUCCCAUAAAGUUGUUCUCAGUUCGGAUUGUAGUCUGCAACUUGACUACAUGAAGCUGGAAUCGCUAGUAAUCGUAGAUCAGCAUGCUACGGUGAAUACGUUCCCGGGUCU
rnacentral:rRNA from 1 species